UUAAAAAGCUCGUAGUUGAAUUUCGGGGUUAGUAGGUUGGUCAUGCCUCUGGUAUGUACUGGUCUCACUGAUUCCUCCCUCCUGAUGAACCGUAAUGCCAUUAAUUUGGUGUUGCGGGGAAUUUGGACUGUUACUUUGAAAAAAUUAGAGUGUUUAAAGCAAGCUAACGCUUGAAUACAUUAGCAUGGAAUAAUGAAAUAGGACGUUCGAUCCUAUUUUGUUGGUUUCUAGGAUUGACGUAAUGAUUAAUAGGGAUAGUUGGGGG
rnacentral:rRNA from 1 species